GGCUCCCAACUCGGGCACAGCAGGAGCGGUAAUACAGAGGCCUCAAGCGUUAUCCGGAAAUUGUUGGGCGUAAAGGUUGUGUAGCCUGUUUUGCUAGUCUUUUGGUAAAGAUCCGGGCUUAACCCGGGAAAAGCGAAAGAAACGGCAAAACUUGAGGGUGCGAGGGGUGAACAGAACUCACAGUGUAGGGGUGAAAUCCGUUGAUAUUNUGGGGAAUACCAAAAGCGAAGGCAGUUCACUGGCGCAUUCCUGACGCUGAGACACGAAAGCAUGGGUAGCGAACGGGAUUAGAUACCCCGGUAGUCCAUGCCGUAAACGAUGUUCUCUAGAUUUGAGGAGAAUCGACCCUCUUCGAGUCGUAGCUAACGCGUUAAGAGAACCGCCUGGGUAGUACGGCCGCAAGGCUAAAACUCAAAGGAAUAGACGGGGGCUUGCACAAGCGGUGGAUCAUGUGGCUUAAUUCGUCGAUAAACGAAGAACCUUACCAAGGCUAGACAUCUAAGUGAAAGCUCUAAGAAACUAGAGCCCUCUUCGGACUCUUAGACAGGUGAUGCAUGGCCGUCGUCAGUUCGUGGUUUGAAUUGUUCCCUUAAGUGGGGUAACGAACGCAACCCUCAUCGUGUGUUACAAGUGUCACACGAGACUGCCC
rnacentral:rRNA from 1 species